CUCAAAUUUGAAAUCUGGCCCUUGGGUCCGAAUUGUAAUUUGUAGAGGAUGUUUUUGGUGCGGUAUCUUCCGAGUUCCUUGGAACAGGACGCCUUAGAGGGUGAGAGCCCCGUACGGUUGAAUGCCUAGCCUUUGUAAAACUCCUUCGACGAGUCGAGUAGUUUGGGAAUGCUGCUCUAAAUGGGAGGUAAAUUUCUUCUAAAGCUAAAUACCGGCCAGAGACCGAUAGCGCACAAGUAGAGUGAUCGAAAGAUGAAAAGCACUUUGAAAAGAGGGUUAAAUAGCACGUGAAAUUGUUGAAAGGGAAGGAUUUAUGACCAGACUUUUUCUAGGCGAAUCAUCCGGUGUUCUCACCGGUGCACUUCGUUUAGUUUAGGCCAGCAUCGAUUUUCGGGGCGGGAUAAAAGCUUCAGGAAUGUGGCUCCCUCGGGAGUGUUAUAGCCUGUUGUAUAAUACCGCCCUGGGGAUCGAGGUACGCGCUUCUGCAAGGAUGCUGGCGUAAUGGUUAUCAAUCACCCGUCUUGAAACACGGACCAAGGAGUCGAACAUUUGUGCGAGUGUUUGGGUGUUAAACCCUCACGCGUAAUGAAAGUGAACGGAGGUGAGAGCCCUUUACGGGGUGCAUCAUCGACCGAUCCUGAUGUCUUCGGAUGGAUUUGAGUAAGAGCAUAAAUGUUCGGACCCGAAAGAUGGUGAACUAUGCGUGGAUAGGGUGAAGCCAGAGGAAACUCUGGUGGAGGCUCGCAGCGGUUCUGACGUGCAAAUCGAUCGUCAAAUCUGCGCAUGGGGGCGAAAGACUAAU
rnacentral:rRNA from 1 species